UACAGAGGGUGCAAGCGUUAAUCGGAAUUACUGGGCGUAAAGCGUGCGUAGUCGGUUAUUUAAGUUGGAUGUGAAAACUCUGGGCUCAACCCAGAGCCUGCAUCCAAAACUGGAGAGCUUGGGUUCUGGAGGGGAAAGCGGAAUUCCUGGUGUAGCGGUGAAAUGCGUAGAUAUCAGGAGGAACACCGGUGGCGAAGGCGGCUUUCUGGACAGAUACCGACGCUGAGGCACGAAAGCUAGGGGAGCAAACAGG
rnacentral:rRNA from 1 species